rnacentral:rRNA from 1 species
GGGGAAUAUUGCACAAUGGGGGAAACCCUGAUGCAGCGACGCCGCGUGAAGGAAGAAGUAUCUCGGUAUGUAAACUUCUAUCAGCAGGGAAGAAAAUGACGGUACCUGACUAAGAAGCCACGGCUUACUACGUGCCAGCCACCGCGGUAAUACGUAGGGGGCAAGCGUUAUCCGGAUUUACUGGGUGUAAAGGGAGCGCAGACGGCAUGGCAAGUCUGAAGUGAAAGCCCGGGGCUCAACCCCGGGACUGCUUUGGAAACUGUCAGGCUAGAGUGCUGGAGAGGUAAGUGGAAUUCCUAGUGUAGCGGUGAAAUGCGUAGAUAUUAGGAGGAACACCAGUGGCGAAGGCGGCUUACUGGACAGUGACUGACGUUGAGGCUCGAAAGCGUGGGGAGCAAACAGG